GAGCAAUGGAGACAGUUCUGGAUUGGGUCGUGGCAAUGAGCAGCAAUUGGACUUUUCCCCACCAUCUCCGCCUCCAUCGGCCUCUCCUUGGAGAUUUUCCUGGUCGAGAAUUUGGGAUCUUCCCCGUGACCACCUCAACGGCGCGCCUCUGGUCGCCACCACACAGCAAGAGGAGGCCGGCUACGCGGGGUAGGAGUAGUGAUGCGGAAGAUCGGGCGACCGAGCUCUUUCUUCCCCGAUACGCACAGCCAGCCCGGGCAUCACCUCUGGCCCCGGUUGUUUCUUACGCGCAGCCCAUCCUGGCCGCUGCGCGCUGCACCCGUACUUCGCCGCCGGGCUGCCGCGCGAGCUCCGCCCUGCGAUUUUGUCACCCAGCCCAGCCGCCCUUGCUCGUGGCCCACGCCGCCUGCGCUGUGGAGCCGACCACGGUGGCGGUAGGCAUCCACGGAGAUGCCGGUGGGGGGCACCGGCCUCCUAUACGGUGGAGGCGCUGGGGGAAGCUACUUCUGCUUCAUCUCUUAUCUCCGGCAGGUGAUCUCCUCGACAGUGGAGGCAGUGGGGAAGGCGGCUGCUACUACUUCAUCGAAGGUAGGCACACCGGGGGAUCCUACCGCGGUGAAUGCUUGGUACAGGGGCGCCUGAGUCCUUUUUUUUCUCUUGCCUUCCUGAUCUCUUUCCUCUAAUUACUCCUCUGUAUUCUCCUCGGCUAUCUCCUUUUAGAUUAUUACCUUACCUUUACCUCUCUGUGUUGUAUUGUUCAUCUGAUUGUUGUGUUUCGACCAUGGCAUAGAGCAUCACUUCCAAACUAUUAGACGUGAUGCUUGAGAGAAGAGGCUUGAUCAUUAUCUUAAUUUAGGACUAGCAAAUCUGGAGAUAAUUAAUUUUGUGUGUGUUUUAGCUAACCCUAUUUGACAUCAAGAACAUCUGCACGAGAUGGGAGUUCACUGCCAUCAUCAACACAAGAGGCUGGAUGUAACUGUCCAUGCAGUGUGCCGUUGAGUUCUUCAAGUUGUCCACCUUAUUGAGAAUUGCAAAACGAGUGUCAACAAGACUUCUACUGGGAAGGGUUUAGCCAGUAAACUGGAGUGUCUGUUAACGAUUUCAAAUGUCCUGAGCCAAUGAGUGUUCUUCAGGAGCCGGAAUCUACUGAUAUUUACAGCCGCGCAAUAUUGGAUGAAGUCAGGACCCUUACUUUUGGCUAUGUACACAAAUUGAAGAUGAGGCUCUGAGCAAGUCCCAUUUCAGUUAGCGCAAAUUCCAAUAUUAAUACCCGGUUAUUAAUAUGGCCCUAGCUCAAUCCGAGCUUGCAGUGUUGCCUCGACCACCGCCCAUGCAGUAGCCCCAAGGAGAGUGUCACGGAUAAACCAUGGAAGCUGCGAGCAGUGCGUGGGACAACAGUCAGACGGUUGGUUUCAAGGUUGGCGCCGUCGUCAAGGAGGCUCAAGCAGGCUCUGUUCUCGGUGGCCCUGACGCAUGUGCUCUGGCUCACAUAUGGUUUUGAGGCUGCAAUUUGGUUAACAGGUUGUGUAUCCAUUCGAAAUCAUUCAGUGAUAGAGCAUGUUGUUGGGUUUAAGCAUGUUUUGGAUGUCAGCAUUGAGAGAAUACACUAAAAUUCCUUUUCUAACUUGAAAAUUAUAAAGUAUACUUGAUUGCACAAGAUGGCACCUUAUAGAAAACUGAGCAUUGACCAAGUAUUUUGGUUGUGCCAUAUAUUGUUAUACUAUACCUGAUGUUCCCUUUCUGAAAAUAAGAUGGGACAAGUGA